rnacentral:rRNA from 1 species
UGGGGAAUUUUGCGCAAUGGGCGAAAGCCUGACGCAGCGACGCCGCGUGUGCGAUGAAGGCCUUUGGGUCGUAAAGCACUGUCGAGCGGGACGAAAAACUUGGCUCUAACACAGCCAGGCUUUGACGGUACCGCUAAAGGAAGCACCGGCUAACUCUGUGCCAGCAGCCGCGGUAAUACAGAGGGUGCAAACGUUGCUCGGAAUCAUUGGGCGUAAAGCGCGUGUAGGCGGCACGGUAAGUCAUCUGUGAAAGCCCUCGGCUCAACCGAGGAAGUGCAGCUGAAACUGCCGCGCUAGAGUGCUGAAGAGGGUGGCGGAAUGCGCAGUGUAGAGGUGAAAUUCGUAGAUAUUGCGUAGAACACCAGUGGCGAAGGCGGCCACCUGGGAAGCUACUGACGCUAAGACGCGAAAGCAUGGGGAGCAAACAGGAUUAGAUACCCGUGUAGUCC